CCUACGGGCGGCUGCAGUAAGGAAUAUUGGUCAAUGGACGCAAGUCUGAACCAGCCAUGCCGCGUGGAGGAUGAAGGUCCUCUGGAUUGUAAACUUCUUUUCUCUGGGACGAAACCCCCGAUUUCCAUCGGGCCUGACGGUACCAGAGGAAUAAGCACCGGCUAACUCCGUGCCAGCAGCCGCGGUAAUACGGAGGGUGCAAGCGUUAUCCGGAUUCACUGGGUUUAAAGGGUGCGUAGGCGGGUUUGUAAGUCAGUGGUGAAAUCCCCGAGCUUAACUUGGGAACUGCCAUUGAUACUGCAAGUCUUGAAUUUUCUGGAGGUAAGCGGAAUAUGUCAUGUAGCGGUGAAAUGCUUAGAUAUGACAUAGAACACCCAUUGCGAAGGCAGCUUACUACGGGAAUAUUGACGCUGAGGCACGAAAGCGUGGGGAUCAAACAGGAUUAGAUACCCCAGUAGUC
rnacentral:rRNA from 2 species